rnacentral:snRNA from 1 species
UCGAUAUGUUGAACUUAG